AGAGUUUGAUCAUGGCUCAGAACGAACGCUGGCGGCAGGCCUAACACAUGCAAGUCGAACGCCCCUUUCGGGGGGAGUGGCGCACGGGUGAGUAACGCGUGGGAAUCUGCCCUUUGGUCUGGAAUAACCCUGGGAAACUAGGGCUAAAACCGGAUAAGCCCCGCGAGGGGGAAAGUUUACGCCGAAGGAGGAGCCCGCGUCCGAUUAGCUAGUUGGUGAGGUAAGAGCUCACCAAGGCAACGAUCGGUAGCUGGUCUGAGAGGACGAUCAGCCACACUGGGACUGAGACACGGCCCAGACUCCUACGGGAGGCAGCAGUGGGGAAUAUUGGACAAUGGGCGCAAGCCUGAUCCAGCCAUGCCGCGUGAGUGAUGAAGGCCUUCGGGUUGUAAAGCUCUUUUGGCGGGGACGAUGAUGACGGUACCCGCAGAAUAAGCCCCGGCAAACUUCGUGCCAGCAGCCGCGGUAAGACGAAGGGGGCAAGCGUUGUUCGGAAUUACUGGGCGUAAAGGGCGCGUAGGCGGUUCUUUAAGUCAGGCGUGAAAGCCCUGGGCUCAACCUGGGAGUGGCGCUUGAUACUGGGGGACUAGAGAGUGGGAGAGGUUGGUGGAAUUCCCAGUGUAGG
rnacentral:rRNA from 1 species